rnacentral:lncRNA from 1 species
ACGCAAACAUGCAACGUGCAUUGCUCAAUUGUUCAAGGUUACGUCUCAUUGGUGUAUCGGAUCAGGUGAUACCACAGCUUUGCUGGCCAACUCUACCUUCACAG